rnacentral:pre_miRNA from 1 species
UCUUAGGAAGGAGCAAAGAAAGUGGCUCCCUGAGAUGGAAUCUACUCCUGGUGAAGAUUCUGGGAA